GGUUUGUGUUUUAAUUGCUGUGCUUUUUAUUCCUCCCCCCCCGAAGUCUCUUCUAACUGAGACUGCCUCUGGCUCGAGCCUCCCCAUGAGGUUUGGCAGCAGGCUGGUAGCGAAGAAGGUCUUCGGACCACAUGGUGAAGAUUUCCUUGGUGGUGCUCACUGGGAGUGCUAUGUUUCGUGACACAACCAAAGGGCGAACCGCACUUCUUCCUCUCCCGCCGCGGGAUUUGGAAGAACGGUUCCUGUACUCUCCAGCAUUUCUAGCAGGUUUCUCGUGGCGUGCGUGCAGUCCUUCAAGGAGGAGCUAUCCGAUGCAAGGGAUCCCCUGGAAGGGAAGGAAAAGAAGACAUGCAGCAUCUUCAGCUGCAGCAUCCCUGCAAAUACAGACUUGCAAUAGCUGAAUCCAAAGAGAAAAAGCAUCACAAAAAUUGAACAAGGAACCAAGAUAAAAUUAGAAGCCUCGCCAAGACCCUCCUCCCUCUCCAUCCUCACUGAGGGUGUUAUCAGUGCAGGGUAAUUCAUGAAAAGCUUGAUGGCCACCAGUGAAUGGACUUCCUGGGUUUUGGGGAUGGGAGAAGUGCUUGUGGCUUUCAUUGUGAUGGUCUAGAAUAGGGAGGAAGAUGUCUGAGAGGCAACUGCAUCUGGUGCACAGAAGGGAAAUAGCAGCAGCACUGUAAAUACAUGUUACUGGGAACUGUCAAUAGCCUUGCAUGAAAACUCAAAUGUUAGCUUAACCUGAGAAUAUUAAACACAAUAUACAAAUGUAAACCUGCUCUCCAGAAACAAAAAAGAGCAAAACAAACACAACAAAUAGGAAACUUGAUUUCAAGAUGAUUUCUUGAGGGUAUGAAUUAUCCAGCCUAAUGCAGUGAGGACUAUUUUUAUAGUAGUUGAAACUAAAACUGACAGACCGUGUUUGCCAAUGCUUACAUUACUCGGUGACACCGCUUCUUUUUAAAGCUUGCCAGAGGAAAUGCUCCAUGCUGGAACAUAUGUUGGUGAUUAGUGAGACCAGCACUGCAGGAUAAAAUGGGAGAAAUAUAGCUGUGCAGUGAAAAGCUGAAUGGACAAAAUAUAAAAUAAGGCAUGCAGUGCCUUUUCCAUUUGCUUUUAAAAUAGGCCAGGAGUAAUGUGUAUUAAAGGCUCUCUCUGAAUGUUGCAAGUCGGUUUAGGUUUAACUUGAUGGGGCAUCUCCCAAUUUUUAACUUUUUUUCUGCAUCAUGUAUAAAUUUCCCUUAAUUACCCUCUACCAUAAAGCCGGGUUUUCUACGGAGCUUCAUUCCUUGCCUUCUGCAUCCAUUUAUUGCUUGUACACUUCAGCUGUUUUGACUGGACUGAAUUGGAAGUCCUCAAAUAUGAGGGGUAGGCUCAGAAAAGGAGUUGUGUUUAGGCACCUACCUU
rnacentral:lncRNA from 1 species